CUCUGUUAUCCCACACUACCUUUCCUAGGUGUUUAUGUGUCUGCAUCUCUGAGUACUGAUCUCAGUUCCAGCACUAACAUUUCUGAAGACAAGUCAUUCAGCACUGCCAUGCCUUAUAUACAAAGAGAGUGUUAAUAACUAGGAAUUAACUAGAAAAUGAUGGGAGAAUCAUCUGCUAAUGAAAGGCGGUCAGAGUUGGAUGACAUGCCUGGGGACGAACAGUAGGACCACCACCCCCGGCAUUCCAGUCCUCCUGAGCACCUGGAUGAGGUAAUCCUGUUGGGAGUGACUACACCAGGAGAAGACUAUCUGGAACCGCCCACCAGCAGACUGCUCGGACCCACCAGCAGACUGCUCGGACCCACCAGCAGACUGCUCGGACCCACCAGGAUGGAGUUAACGCCUAUCACCAGAUUGCUCACAACCAGUCAUCACCCACCUCAGCCUACCACCAGAGCACCCACAGACCAUCACCCAAUAAGGGACAUUCUUACCCACACCAUCUGAACCCUAAAAAAGACUGCUCCCCAAGCUAGUCGGGGAGGAAAGCAUUUUGU